rnacentral:lncRNA from 1 species
CCAAGCUCUCCUGGCUGCCCAAUGUCCCCUUCGCUUGCAUAUCACUGACAUUCUGACAUCACACUGACAUCACACCAUGGCAACCAUUGGAUGAAGACCUCGUCUCCAGAGGACUCCUGUUAACACCAGACGUAUAAUGGGAGUGACACAGUGAUCUGCUGGCACUCUUGAAGACAUCAGCUUGGUCAAGAAUGUUGGCAGAGGCGCCUCAAGAAACAACUGCCUUCCACUCAUGAGCUGAAAUGUCAUUGCUGAAAGCGAGGCAGAUGAGUGGAAGUGGAAAGACCUGGGGCUGUGGGCGUCCUUGUGACCAGCCUGGCAAGGCCCACGCCUGCCCCAUGGAGACUCUGGGGCAGCCUUUGCAGAAGCAAACACUAUCAUCAGACUUGAGUUACAAACGCCACCACAGCGGUCUUAACAUCUGGCUUCCAAGGGGUCAAACUCUGAACAGUGCAGGGAGAGUAGGAGACCCAGAGCCCCUGAAGCCUCCUCCAUCCCAAGCAGAAAACCAGAUGCUGCCAUGGAACCAACACCCAAGCACCAGGCCCAGAACAAGAAGCAGCAUGACCCAAGGGCUGGGCAGGGGCCAAGGCCAAGUGAGGGGACAAUAGGAAGCGGACCAGCAUCCAGCAUCCCUCGAGCUCCUUGAAGACUGAAGAUUCAGCUGUUUCCUGUAAAAUGUCACUCUUUUGUUCAUUUCCUCCUUGGAGACACGGCAAUCAAUUCUGCUUUACUUGACUUAAGGAUGAUAAUGAUCACUCGUGAAAUGAUCCUGGAGUACAAAAAGUUGUUAAAAAAGAGAUAACAGGCCCACAAUGGAGUCACUUGUGCUGAGCCCACAUCACCAAACUGAGACGUAAUACCUAACCUCAUGGCAGUUUCACCCUCUCCCAGGAAUGUGACCUUAACUAGCCAUUCUGGAAUUAACCUGCCAUCUUCCAGGUGAGGACCACAGCUCUCAUCUCAACACCUUCAGUUUACAAGUGAGAAAACUGAGACCCAAAAAGACAAAGUGACUUCCCAAAGUCAUAAGACCAGCCAAUAACAGAGAAGCAAUAGAAUUUGGGCCUCCUAUUCCCUUCCAGCCUCUGGUCAUCUCUACAACUACAUCAAUUCAACCAACAGUGAAAGUCCUCUCUUACUUCUUCUCAGUAGUACAUGUGGGGAUGAAGAGAUAAUAACGACUUGGGUUGUCCCCAUCUUUUUUCCAGCCUAAGAGCACACUGGAAGUGAGCAUGCUGAAGCCUCUCUGCCCACUCCCUGGCUGUAGGUGCCCCUCACUAGCCAACCCCAGCUGAGAGGGCUGUCUGUCCAUCA